GGCCAGAUGCCGGCUUGUAAGUAGCUGGUCGUUGUGUAAGUGAAAUACUGUAAAAUUGAUGAAGGGAUGGGUGCGUCAAUCAUAUAUCAUGUCCAAAGCCUUGGGUUCUCUCUUGCAUAAAAAAGAGGGAAUUCAUUUAUUUGAGCAAUAUAGAGUACUAAUUAAUUAGUAAAAGCAUGUUUAGCGGUAACCGCUAAUUUUAAAAGGCCUUUUCUAAUUUUGCCUAGGAUGAAAGUUGUUUCCAACAAGUAUGUUUCCGACAGUGUGCUUGCUGUAUGGCAUGGGAGUAAGAAUGUUUCCAAUAUUUCCCUGUGCUCCAAUAUUUCUGUGCUCAGGGUUUUGCUUAUUUAUCAGAGGUCGUUGAAAGUCUUUGGGGCAGAUCUCAACAAAGUUGUUCCAGGGUGCAAUCUGAGACACAUACUUCACUAGACACAGCGGAUUCAGGCAGAUGUGGAUGUUGAGUCCUUGUGCUCUUGUGUUUGGAAGCCAUCCUGGCUACAGAAGGGCCCGAAGGAGCCAGUUCUCAGAGUUCCCAUAAUGGAGUCCUUUCCCUUCACUCCCCUUCUGUGAACUCUGCAGUAGACAAUCCACUCAUCUCUGUGGUGCAGUGUUCCAUGGAGAGUCAUCCUGUGGGGCUUUGCUCCCUUCUGCGUGCCCUGACCCCCAACUACAGGACACUGCCAACACUGCAUGCCUCUCUAGCCUUUCCCUUGGGGUUCAAAUCUGCCCACUGCUUCCUUCAGAUCUACUCCUGCUGCUCUUCACCAAGGCUCAUACCUACUUUGUUGCAGAUUAUUGACUGCUGAUGUAGGAGGAGAGGGUGGGGGUCAUUGGUUUCUCUUGUAGGAUCCCACCAGCCCUGUUCUCCCAUACCUUCUGACUAGGUGUUUGUUUGUUUGAAGCAGAGUUUCUUUGUCUAGCCCUGGCUGCCAUGGAACUUCACUUUGUAGACCAGGCUGGCCUCAAACUGAUGUUUUUGAACCUGCCUUCUAAGAGCUGGGAUUAAAGGCAUACCACCAUGCCCAGCAUGGUUAGUUGUAUUAAUUCUGCCCCAAUUGUACAUACAUGGAGGGUGCAAGGGUAACUGAAAGGGGAAGUCCGCCUUCCAUGCUGGGGUGAGAUUUUCUGGUACCAAGAAGACUUUGAUGUCACCUACUCUUCUCAUGCUCAGUAAGUAAGCCCAGUGAACUCAUUGGUUUCCCCAAGUUGGACUUUGAGGGAAUCAUACAUUGGUUUGUCAUUAGUGCCCUAUAAAAAGGGGGUAUGUGUUUGUUUAUGUCUCCCGAGGGGAAGAAUUCUUGCAAAAGAAGGUUAUGGUUUUUUAUUUCUGCCAGUCAGAAAGUUUUGUCAGAUAAACAGUAGUCCCCCUUACAGUGUCAUUCUCUGCAGUUACAGUUGUCAAUAGUCAGCUGAGGCCCAAAUAUGAAAUGGGAUAUGAGAGAGAAUGAGAACCCAUUCAUAUAACUUACAUUUUGACACAUUAUUAUAAUCUUUUAUUAUUAGUUACUGUUCAUGUCUUAAGGUGCCUAAUUUAUAGAUUGAACUAUCAUAGGCAUAUAUGCUGAGUAUGUACAGGGUUUUCAGAUGCACUGGGAGUUGGAACAUGUCUGCUCUGGGCAAGGGGUUGCCUCUCUAAGUGUAUUCAGUGGUAUGCUCCUUGAUGUUGAAGUCCUCUUGUAAAACAGGGUAACAUAACUUUCCUAGACAUUUAGCACAGUUUUCUCUGGUUAAACUUUGAUGUCUGACUUGUCCCACUACGGGUUUUACAGGAAGAAGCCAGAGUCCCCACUAUUUUCUGUGGAAGGAAGGAAACAUUCCUUAGGUUGUUUGAAUAUCCUUGGGUGUACUGCUGUGGCUGCACUGCCCUAGGAUGAUGUCACUUCUGAGCGCAGAUGAAGGAAGCUACCCAGUAGCCAUCUUGAGGCUUUUGGUGACCCCAGCUGUGGUUGUGUGCUGCAGAGGAGGCUGUCACUCAGGGAAGGUUUGCUGUGAGGACCAACUGUGAUCUGCAUUUGAAUUGUGCUUGGGAAAGGUGUUCCUGCAAGUCACAAGGUGUUGGAUCCCCCCUGGAGCUGGAGUUCCAGGUGGUUGUGAGCUGCCUGAUGUGGAUACUAGGACCUGAGCUCUGGUCAUCUGCAAGAACUGUGUAUCCCUUCAGUCCCUGAGCCCCUCUCCUCAGCCUCCUACCCCCCUUUCCUUUAAAUUUGAGAUAAGUUGCCCUGACUGGCCUUAGGAUCCUCUUCACUAUGCCUCCUGAAUGAUAGGACUACAGGUGUAUGCCAACAAAUCCAGCUCUAAUUUCCUUUUUUGAGACAAGUAUGUUGUAGCCCAGUCCAACCUUGAACUCCUGAUUCUCUCCACCCCAAGUGCCAGGAUUCCAAGCAUGUAACAUCACCUGGUACAACAUGUAUGCUGGGGAUUGAACCCAAGGAUUUGUGCAUGUUAGGAAACCACUCUGUCAACUGAGCUAACCCCAGUGGCUCCAGUUUACUUUAAAAAGAGGAAGUUGGUACUUAGAGAGGGAAAGUGAAUUGCUUCACUCUCGGGUUCUUGGCAUCAGGAUUACAUAAAGCUCUUUGGCAAUCUGGUGAUGCUCUGGGAUCCCUUGCACAGGAUGAAAUUUCUGAGUACAUCAUCAAAUAAAAUACAGAGGAUUGAAAAUGA